UUAAUAUGGUAAAUGCCAUUUAUAGACUUCCUGCUAUUAAAUUAUCCUUGCAUUCUUUUUUUAUUUUUCUUUUUUUUAAGAUUUUUUGUGUUUGAGAGAGCACGAGACAGCAAGCAGGAGCGGGGGGAGGGAGAGGAAGAAUCAGGCUCUCUGCGGAGCGGGGAGCCUGACACUCAGCUUGAUCCCAGGACUCCUAAGACCAUGACCUAAGCCAAAGGCAGAUGCUUAACCGACUGAGCCACCGGGGCACCCUGUCCUUGCAUUCUUAGGAUAAACUACUCGACCAUAAGCAUUGCUUGUAGUAGACGGUGUUACUGUUCCCUCAAUACCGGCUCCCCUUCUUGGAAGAGGACCAGACAUCCCCACCUACGGUCGUGUGAGGGGCCCCUCAUGUACCCGCCCAGCCAGCAGUCACUGGAGUCCAGACGGCAUCUAUGGGAGCAGAAACCUGAAAAGAUAUCCUGUGUGAUUGUCCUGGCCCUCUGGAUCUUUCUCUCUCCCACAAAGAUGGCAUGUCUGUGCCUGGGAAGUCCCAGGACGGAGAGGACGCGUGGAGGAACGUCUGACAAUAGACGUCCGUUUGGGUUCUCGGACAGGGAAGGAAGUCGAGCGGGUGAGGUGCGCUCACAGACCAGCUCCACUUAGUGCCACGGGGAUGACUCAGCCUCGCGGGACCAGCCUCCAAGCAGCCAUGUGAAGUCUGUCUCAGGAAAGUCUGCCUGGGGAGUACUUUAAAGACACCUUCAAUCACUCAGUAAACUCUCUUGGAGAGACAGCAAGAGAGAGAACAUGAGCAGGGCGAGCGGCAGAGGAGGAAGCAGGCUCCCCACGGAGCAGGGAGCCCUAUGCGGGGCUCAAUCCUAGGACCCUGGGAUCUGACCUGAGCCGAAGGCAGACGCUUGACCGACUGAGCCACCCAGGCGGCCCUCAAUCUUAGGCUUAUUCAGGUCCAGCACUUAAUGAAAAACUGACCUAGAGAACAGUGGCACCUGGUUACCCAAACCUUGGAGAGAAGCCGAUAAAGAGAGAGCCCCGCAGGAGAGGCAGGUCCUAGAGUCAACACACGCAGACUUACAAUAACUAAUUCUUGUGUUCCGGAAAUUAAAUGAUAAGACGGACAAUUUCAGGAGAGAACAGGAGACUGUAAAAAAGAACCAAAUAGAAACUCUAGAACUGAACAAUGCCAUGAAGGAUACUAGUAAUAAAUGGGUUUAACUGUUGAUUAGCAUAUAUGAAAUAAAUAUAGUAACACUAAUAUUGCAUAAAGGAGAUUCUAAUGUCAAGAGCAAGAUAGAAGAAAAUGAAGAGGAAUAUUCCUUUUUUUUGAAGAUUUUAUUUAUUUAUUCUACAGAGCUAGAGAGAGUGCACAAGCAGAGGGAGCAGGAGGCAGAGGGAGAAGCAGGCUCCCUGCUGAGCAGAGAGCCCCAUGCGGGGCUGGAUCCCAGGACCCUAAGGUUACAGCCUGAGCCAAAGAAAGAUGUUUCACCAACUGAGCCGCCCAGGCACCCCUGAAGAGGAAUAUUUCAUAAUGAUGAUGAGGUCAGUUCAUUAAGAAGUUGUAACAGUAUAAAAUUCGUAAAUACCUAAGAACAAACCAUCAGAGUAUAGAAGACAGUAACAGUGAUAGUAACGGGAGAAAGAGAGAAGUGGCUCAUCGAGGUGGGAGACUCCAGCCUCUCCUUCACCGGAGGACUGAAGACCAGGCACAGCAGGUAAGUGUUUCAAGUACUAGAACAUUCUAGAACAUUCACCAGAGUUGGCUACAUGUUAGACCAUAAAGCAACUCAGCCACUGUUGAGUGACUGAGAUCAAACCAAGAAUAUCCUCUGGCCGCAGAAGAAUUAGUUUAGUAAUCAGCAACAAACAACAAACUAAGAUACCCCAAAUGUUCAGAAGUCGACCGACACGUGUGUGAACAUGUGGCAGAGUGAUCCGGUCACAGCGGAGAGGAUCGCGUAUUUCGAACUAACUAUGUUGAAAAUACCUAAGCUCGUAGGAGGCAGGAAAAGCUCUGCUUGUGACCUUAAAAAUUGGUCUCCUGUCCAUGAAAGUACAGAAUAUGAGCCACGUGUAUGUAUCACAAUAUACACAGUUGGAGACAAGAAAGGCUGAAGAUCGCGACGUCAGCAUCCGUCUUAGGAGGUUAGAGACGAACAAACGGCAGAGGAGAAGCAGCGCGACAUGCAAGCACAACAAGACAGCACAGGUUCGCAGCGGACUCCGUAAGGGUGCGAGUUGGUCCUUUGAAAUAACUGAUAAAAUGCAGAAAAGCCUUGGUCCCAUGUCAAGCCCAAAGGAGCAAGGCACAGAAAACCAGCACCGAAAAGGGGACAGAGCUGUGAAAUUUCAAAAGGUCCCUAGAGACCUAAUGUGCACCUGAGACUGAGAACCUCAGGGGGUGAUCUGGAGAACCCUUGGUGUCGGUAUCUUUGGAUUCUUUCCCCUCUCUUAAGCCUGUUCAGAUUCCCCCAGUGAAGAAUCUUCCAGUUUCCUGCCUGGAGGUACAACCCUGGUUGCUAGCUUUCUGGAAGUCCAGCAGGGCGAGAGGGCCGAGGCGUCUUCCUGUUCAGAACAGAAGCUCUCCCUGUAUCUUUCCAACCUCCGAACGGGUGCUCUCGCCUCUGCUGGAUCUGGUGACCCUAGACCAGGGGCCAAAGUCCAAGGCCCCUGCUAGGGAGCGAGAGGCAGCCCUGGGGGAAGAGGGAGCUCUGGCGGUCUUGCCAAUUCUGCAACAGACUCUCCAUCAGGGUUUCACCUCGGCCCCCCUGCCGGUCUCCCCCGCGGUCCCGGUGCCCUGAGCGGCCGAGGUGGGGGUCUGGUGCGCACCCAUCUGCCUCCUGCACACAAACCUUUUCUCCAGUCUGUCUCUCAGCUUGCAACCUGGCCUGUGCUGUCAUGCAUUGUGGGCAUGUUUUUAAUUAUAAUGAGGUCAGAUCUGUCCAAAUCUGCCCCUUUCCCUUGUGCUGUGUUCCGCCCAGUUCGCGGGGGGGAGGGGGGGGCUCUGCCCUCCCUUCACCCCCGACCGGAACUGUCACACUCAGGCGUCAUUACCUGCUGCAGACUGAGUGUCCGCGGUACAGAGCUCUCCGGAAGUUCCGCUGACUUCGGGAGCUUCCUGCCCCAGCACGACCCCGACCGUCAGGCUGCUCCCGCCUGCCCUCCAGGGUAACGGCACCCUCGUUUCUCGCCGCCUCCCUCGGCGGUGCUAGGACCGCGCUGCGGCUGCCGUCCUACCCCCCCCCCCCUCUCCGUGCAGCUCUAGCCUUAGAAGCAGAAACUCCCACCCUGGUCUUUCCUUGUUUACAACACGUGGUCUUCCCUGAGAGUUUGUACAGAAAAACAAAAACUUGAUCUACUUCUCCCA